GCCUCCGUAGCUCAAAGCCAUGUUGCAGCGGCAGAGCGCCUCUCUUGUAGCUUUUCGGGAGAAUGUUUUGAUCAAACUUUUCCAAAAAGUUUGAAAGGAGGAUGUUGGGGGUUCAAAUCCCUCCGGAGGCU
rnacentral:tRNA from 1 species